AACUAAGAUUAGAAUGGAUAAGAUCAUCAGAUAGAACUUAGUGAAGCAAUACCAAAUCUUCUGAUAUCGUAGAUGAAAAAUUCUUUGAGUACUUGAUAAAAAUUUGAGUUAUAAUUUGGGUACUAAUCUUCAAGCUCUUGCUUCUGAUACUGAUGGGUUUUUAGAGGUAUCAAAAAAGCACUCUCUUUUAUCUCCUUUUCUAGUUAUAUGUUAAGGGUAGUUGGUUUGAGAGUUAAGUUAGGGUUUGAAUGCUUGUGCUUUCGAUGACAUUGCCAUUCUUUUGCAAGCUGGCUUUUACAAUCCAUGCUUGAGAACUUUGCAAUAUCCGGUCCAAAAUGUUGCAAAAAUUUGUCGCCUCAGUUGCUGUUUUUUCAAGCAAGUUGAAUUUUCAAUGAUAGUGAAUAAGCACUUGCAAAAGAGCAGCAAUGGCGUUGGAUUAGGCGCACAACAUUGUAGAAAAUGUCCAAGUAACAUAUGGAUUGAAACUUUUAGUGGUGUGAUCGUGGAAGACGAAGAAGCAGAUCCUUUGAUUCUGGAUUUACCUUUUACUUUAGCCCUACCGAUCUAUUUUGAUUGGGCAAUAUAUUUCCUCUAAUGGCGGUGUUGUCGCUGCUGAAGAACUAGCACCAUUUCUUGAUGUGAAAACUACCGAGGACAUGCUCAUUAUACCACAUGGAUCUUUCAACCAUUUUGGAUGCUUUGCGUUGUUACAAGAAUCUGAGAGGUGGUCUGGAAAUCAAGAUUUAAAAAUUGAAGGGAGGGCACAUCCAAUUAUGCUUUUGCCAAGUACUGAAAGUAUUCAUGUCUCCAGGGCUUGAGCUUGCUGUAAUACUAUCAGAUUGCUUGGAAGUGUCCGCGCCUUGCAUAACCUCCAAGUGGAAGUCGAUCCAAAAACUUUUGGAUCGACAGUGGAAAUAAAUUGGAAGCCUAAUGUUGCCAGCUGGUGCCGUUUGAAUUAAAGAAGAUAACAUGAGAAUAAGGGCAUACAAAUUGAAAGACAAGGAACCCUCAAUAGGGAUGGAAUAGAAGUUUUGAAAAUUUGUGGUGGCAGACAACGGGAAACUAUCCAAUCUCAUCAUUAUUGCCGUAUGGUAGCCGUUACUGGGAUUUGUGAAUCUCAUUCUAUUCAAAUACCUGGGCAACAGGGUCCUUAAAACAUCUCCUUGAGUCAUCCUAAUCCCAAACCCAAAUAAUAUCUAUGAACCAUGAAGGGGAAGUUGGCUUUCAACUUCCGCUCACAAACCAACUUGCUUAUGAGAAGAGCUCCCUUCAAAAGCAAGAUGUUGCCUACCAUAAUGUCCUUGUUAUAUGAUAAACUUGUUUGUGAUCAUAUCAUACUAGCAUUAUUGAAAAUUUCUAGCACUUUACUAUUAGUUAACUAAUUCAAGUUUGUCACUACAAUCUUUUCUUUAUAGUGAUCAAAUUAUACAAGUUACUGGAAUACAGAUUGCCUCUC